GAUGAACGCUGGCGGCGUGCCUAAUACAUGCAAGUCGAGCGAACGGACGAGAAGCUUGCUUCUCUGAUGUUAGCGGCGGACGGGUGAGUAACACGUGGAUAACCUACCUAUAAGACUGGGAUAACUUCGGGAAACCGGAGCUAAUACCGGAUGAUAUUUUGAACCGCAUGGUUCAAAAGUGAAAGACUGUCUUGCUGUCACUUAUCGAUGGAUCCGCGCUGCAUUAGCUAGUUGGUAAGGUAACGGCUUACCAAGGCAACGAUGCAUAGCCGACCUGAGAGGGUGAUCGGCCACACUGGAACUGAGACACGGUCCAGACUCCUACGGGAGGCAGCAGUAGGGAAUCUUCCGCAAUGGGCGAAAGCCUGACGGAGCAACGCCGCGUGAGUGAUGAAGGUCUUCGGAUCGUAAAACUCUGUUAUUAGGGAAGAACAUAUGUGUAAGUAACUGUGCACAUCUUGACGGUACCUAAUCAGAAAGCCACGGCUAACUACGUG
rnacentral:rRNA from 1 species